AUGCUCUGGUUUCUCUUCAUAAUAAAUAAAUCUUUCGUCUUUUGCUAAAGAUUUCUGUGGAGAGGAACAAUUAUGAGUUUAUAGCCAAUUUUUUUAAUGUUCUACUUAGGCAGGGCU
ensembl:snRNA U5 U5 spliceosomal RNA